UACGUAGGGUGCGAGCGUUGUCCGGAAUUAUUGGGCGUAAAGGGCUCGUAGGCGGUUUGUCGCGUCGGGAGUGAAAACCUCGGGCUUAACUCGGGGCUUGCUUUCGAUACGGGCAGACUAGAGGUAUGCAGGGGAGAACGGAAUUCCUGGUGUAGCGGUGAAAUGCGCAGAUAUCAGGAGGAACACCGGUGGCGAAGGCGGUUCUCUGGGCAUGAUCUGACGCUGAGGAGCGAAAGUGUGGGGAGCGAACAGG
rnacentral:rRNA from 1 species